rnacentral:lncRNA from 1 species
UUUUUCUCUUCAAAGCAGGGCAUGAAGGCAAGCUGUAAGAGCACAGCUCCCAGGGAAAUUGUGGUACUGCUUGGUCUGGAAUGCAGAUCUUAGGUUCUCACUGUGGUUCUUGCUAGUUCUGUGGAGGUCUGUCUGCACAUCUGGAGCCAAGGGAAGCGUUUGACAGGGGAGGCUCUAAUUUUUGUUGCUGCAUUGAUGAUCAUCUUUGGAAAAACGAAUUCUAUCCCCAAACUACAGCCCAGUAGUGAGUUCUGGGAUACAGAAGUCCCUGAGAGUACAAUACAUGGCUUAUGUUCCUUCUCUGAAUUCUGGGUACUUGAACUUAUUCCUGUAAGUAUUAGUUUCUGCUGUUUUCUACUGAUUUUUCUUCUCAUGGGGUGAGCUGAUGAACUUAAGGAAGGCCUUUGUAUAUAAUUUUUGCAUUAUUGCUAAUGUGCUAUUGUGUGCUUUGACAGCAUACACUGAAAAUGUUGGAGUCUCUCUCUUCAGUUUUGAUACUGUUUUUCAGAUUUUAGCUUCUUGCAGCAAUGAUUGGCUUCAUUUCUAAUUCAUAUGGAGAUGUAGUAGUCUGUUUUGCAAUGCUGACUAGAAAUUGUAAAUGCAAUAUAGACCACAC